rnacentral:lncRNA from 1 species
GUCUGAAGGAUCUGCAACUAGACAGGCCUUAGAGGAUGUAAGUGAGUUAAGAUAGUAGAGUCGGUCUGAUUCAAGUCCUGUUCCAAUCGUCUGUCCCGUAAUGCGGUCCUGCAUAAUAAAAGAGUCAUCAAUAAAAUAUAUUCCGCAAUGGAGGGCACGCGUCAAACGACUCACAGAUGCAAGAUUAAAAGGAUAGCUAGGGACAUAAAGAACGGAAUCUAGAGUGACAGAGGGUAGAGGAUUUGCUUGUCCAACUCCUUUUGCUUUAGUUUGAGACCCAUUAGCUAAAGUNN